CCUACGGGAGGCAGCAGUGGGGAAUAUUGCGCAAUGGGCGAAAGCCUGACGCAGCGACGCCGCGUGAGGGAUGAAGGUCUUCGGAUCGUAAACCUCUGUCAGCAGGGAAGAACGGUCACUGUGCUAAUCAGCAGUGAAUUGACGGUACCUGCAAAGGAAGCACCGGCUAAUUCCGUGCAAGCAGCCGCGGGAAUACGGAGGGUGCGUGCGUUAAUCGGAAUUACUGGGCGGAAAGCGCUCGUAGGCGGUAUGUCAUGUAAAGGGUGAAAUCCCCGCGCCUAACGUGGGAACUGCCUUUGAAACUGGCAAACUGGAGUGUGUGGGAGGAUAGUGGAAGUCCAGGUGUAGGGGUGAAAUCCGGAGAUAUCUGGAAGAA
rnacentral:rRNA from 1 species